AAUUCUGUGGCUCAGCGCAAUGAGUUGUGAAUUCCUGCUCGACAGGCCCCGGGUUCGAAUCCCGACAGAAGGAAUUUA